UAUAUAUAUAUUGAUAUUAACAUUCAUUCAUUUGUGAGACGAAAAUAAUCAAGUCCUUUUGAGAUAAUGAAACAUAUUUAUAUAUUUUUAUGGAGUUCAGCUCUAAUUAAUUUGUGUUCAACAUAUUCUCCUUCUAGAAGAUAUAAUGUAAGUUAUCGUGAAAACAAUUUAAUGAGUAAGACAAAACAUAAUAGAAAUGGAGAUUUUUCAAGAAGAAGUUUGGACUCUUUGGGCGGUGGAAAUAUAAUUAGACAAUUGGAUUCAUUAGGAGGAGGAAAUAUUCUAAGAAGUAUUUUAAAUAAAUAUCAAUAUAAUGAUCCAAAGAGGGGUGGCCAUCCGAUAUUGAACAGAAAAAAUAAAAAAUUUAAAAAUUUAAAAUAUAUCAAUAAGAAAAUUUUUGAUGAAAUCGACCGAUCUGGAUUUGGACGACUAAUAAAAAAUUAUUUUUAAAAAUAUGUAUAUAUUGAUUCAUAAGAAAUAAAAAUUUACUUUGCAAUUUCCAAAAA
rnacentral:misc_RNA from 1 species